rnacentral:tRNA from 1 species
AACCAAUAGUGGGGGGUUCGAUUCCUUCCUUUCUUA